rnacentral:rRNA from 1 species
UACGUAGGGCGCAAGCGUUGUCCGGAAUUAUUGGGCGUAAAGAGCUCGUAGGCGGCUUGUCGCGUCGGUUGUGAAAGCCCGGGGCUUAACUCCGGGUCUGCAGUCGAUACGGGCAGGCUUGAGUUCGGUAGGGGAGACUGGAAUUCCUGGUGUAGCGGUGAAAUGCGCAGAUAUCGGGAGGAACACCGGUGGCGAAGGCGGCACUCUGGGGACGGUACUGACGCUGAGACGCGAAAGCGUGGGGAGCAAACAGGG